AGUGGUACUGACUUGGGGAGCAGCAUCAGCAAGAAGUGGAUUCCGGGACUCCUUUCGCUUCUUGGCCGGCAAUUGCAAAGCGAUGGGUAGAUAGAGAUGGAGAGGAGAGGGCUUUACGUCUUGGUGGGGUUUUUUUCCUUUUGAAUUAUCAAGGUAAAUUGAUUGCGGGGGGGAGAGACGAGAACCCGGGAAGGGAAGUUUGUUGUGGCGGGAAGCUAAAAUUGUAACCCCUCCAUUUUUUUUGGUCCUAUAAUUUGAACGAUGAAAAUUUAGGUUUAGAACUUUACUAAUAAAAAACUUUGAAGUCCGGCCCUCUGACUAUGAGUAAGGUCUCGUUUAAGUCCUCCUACUUCUGGUAAUUUUAAAUGAAUGAAUGGUUCAUCAA